rnacentral:rRNA from 1 species
GACGAACGCUGGCGGCGUGCUUAACACAUGCAAGUCGAACGGAAAGGCCCUGCUUUUGUGGGGUGCUCGAGUGGCGAACGGGUGGGUAACACGUGAGUAACCUGCCCUUGACUUUGGGAUAACUUCAGGAAACUGGGGCUAAUACCGGAUAGGAGCUCCUGCUGCAUGGUGGGGGUUGGAAAGUUUCGGCGGUUGGGGAUGGACUCGCGGCUUAUCAGCUUGUUGGUGGGGUAGUGGCUUACCAAGGCUUUGACGGGUAGCCGGCCUGAGAGGGUGACCGGACACAUUAGGACUGAGAUACGGCCCAGACUCCUACGGGAGGCAGCAGUGGGGAAUAUUGCACAAUGGGCGGAAGCCUGAUGCAGCAACGCCGCGUGCGGGAUGACGGCCUUCGGGUUGUAAACCGCUUUCGCCUGUGACGAAGCGUGAGUGACGGUAAUGGGUAAAGAAGCACCGGCUAACUACGUG